rnacentral:rRNA from 1 species
GGCCUCUCUUAGUUACGGCCUUGCUGAAUUAUUCACCCUUGCCUUUUGCCUACUUCUUGUUUCCUUGGUGGGUUCGCCCACCACUAGGACAAACAUAAACCUUUAACAAUUGCAAUCAGCGUUGUAACAAAUUAAUAAUGACAACUUUCAACAACGGAUCUCUUGGUUCUGGCAUCAAUGAAGAACACAUCGAAAUGCGAUAAAUACUGUGAAUUGCAGAAUUCAGUGAAUCAUCCAAUCUUUGAACGCACAUUGGGCCCUUUGAUAUUCCAAAGGGCAUGCCUGUUCUAGCGGCAUUUGUACCCUCAACCUUUGCUUGGUGUUGGACGCCUUGCCUCUAACUUUGCUGGAGACUCACCUUAUACUAAUUGGCAGCCGGCCUACUGUUUUCGGAGCGCACCACAAGUCCCACUCUCUAUCAUUUAAGGUCUAGAAUCCAUUAAACCUUUUUUUCAACUUUUGACCUCGGAUCAUGUAUGGAUACACGAAGAACUUAAGCAUAUCAAUAAGCGGAGGAA